AAGGUGUCUAAUACUUCAUAAUAUCCAUCUCGUAUGAUUAAGCUUUAUGCGCUUUGGGAGGGCCUGCGUAACAUUAGCUUGUUGGUGAGGUAAAAGCUCACCAAGGCUUCGAUGUUUAACUGGUUUGAGAGGAUGACCAGUCACACUGGGACUGAGAUACGGCCCAGACUCCUACGGGAGGCAGCAGUAAGGAAUCUUCCACAAUGGGGCAACCCUGAUGGAGCAAUACCGCGUGCAGGAUGAAGCGUUUCGGCGUGUAAACUGCUUUUAUCACCGAAGAUUAUGACUGUAGGUGAAGAAUAAGGACCGGCUAACUACGUG
rnacentral:rRNA from 1 species